GGGUGUGUUUUAUUAUGCUCUGCAAAGGCAUCGGAGAUCUUUGUUGAUCCACAUCUUG
rnacentral:tRNA from 1 species